AACAAAACCCCAAAAACCCACAAAAAAAAAAACAAACCAAAGUAAUGAAACCAAAAAAAAAAGAAAAAAAGAAAGCAAGAAAGGAAGAAAGAAAAAACCAAAACACAACGGAGCACAACAGAAAACUUCAAGUAAAAGCAGGAUCCACUGGAAAGCAUUCUCUGAAAGGGGCCAGUUACCUUUCAGUCAGUACUCAAUUCCCUGCCUAUGUUAAAUGCUCUCCGCCUUUUCCGCGACGUCCCGGUUACAGCCUCUGGCACCAAACAGCGGCGUUGCAGGCUGGCAAUAAAUGAAUUAAUGAAUUACUUGCUCCAUCCAGCCAUCAGGUUGCUGCCUGAGUGCGGCUCAGCCUGUCAAGCCUCAUCCCCGCCGGACAGAGCGCUUAAAGUGCAGAAAAUCCCCGCUCCCAUCCGCAAGCUGCGCUGUCGUUUGUCGCCGGUGCCACUGGAUGGCAAUGCUGGAUAAAGUAUCGCAGCCCGCAGCGGGGGGAGGAGCAGGAGGAGGAGGAGGAGGAGGAUGAUGAGGAGGAUGAGGAGGAUGAGGAGGGCUCGCAGCGCCGGCAGACGGACGGGGGCACAGUCCAGCCAGGAGAGAUGGCCCGUAAGGACUAGCGCUCCUGUCCUCCAAGAGGCUGCAAGCAAACAACUUUCCGGGCACAGGGAUGAAAGGGAGGCAGGAAAAAAUCAUCCCCGGCAGCAGUUUAAGGCUCCUCAGCCGGUGCAGUCGGAGGGCUUCACUCCCGCUCCGGAGAGAGCAGCGUUAAGGGAGCAGCUCAUCAACUCAAGACUGAUUUCACUUGCAAACGCGCUGGGGCUUCGCAAUCCCUUCCACUUGCGCGGUGUAAAUAGGCUGCGUGGCUGCUGCCUGCUGGUAACCCUGUGCCUCUCCCAAGGGAGUCCUGGGAGAGAAGGGGGGUGCCCAGGUGUGGGAGGGGGUCUGAUUCCCCCACACACCUGGGAGGCUGGUGCAUCUCUGCAUCUCUUUGUCCUUCUUGCACGGCACUUGUAAGCAUGGCCUCAAAUUUGUUCCGGACAAACUUCCCAGAUGAAUUAGGAGAAGUGCCAUUGUAUCAGUAUGGUAAUACCAAACUUUGGAGAAUAAAAAUUUGUUUGUCCAGUGUCCA
rnacentral:lncRNA from 1 species